rnacentral:rRNA from 1 species
UACGGGGGGGGCAAGCGUUGUUCGGAAUUACUGGGCGUAAAGGGCUCGUAGGCGGCCAACUAAGUCAGACGUGAAAUCCCCAGGCUCAACCUGGGAACUGCGUCUGAUACUGGAUGGCUUGAAUCCGGGAGAGGGGUGCAGAAUUCCAGGUGUAGCGGUGAAAUGCGUAGAUAUCUGGAGGAAUACCGGUGGCGAAGGCGGCAUCCUGGACCGGCAUUGACGCUGAGGCGCGAAAGCCAGGGGAGCAAACGGG